rnacentral:rRNA from 1 species
UACGUAGGGUGCGAGCGUUGUCCGGAAUUACUGGGCGUAAAGAGCUCGUAGGUGGUUUGUCGCGUUGUUCGUGAAAUCUCACGGCUUAACUGUGAGCGUGCGGGCGAUACGGGCAGACUAGAGUACUGCAGGGGAGACUGGAAUUCCUGGUGUAGCGGUGGAAUGCGUAGAUAUCUGGAGGAACACCGGUGGCGAAGGCGGCAUCCUGGACCGAUACUGACGCUGAGGCACGAAAGCGUGGGGAGCAAACAGG